UACAGGGGGGGGCAAGCGUUGUUCGGAAUUACUGGGCGUAAAGGGCUCGUAGGCGGCCAACUAAGUCACACGUGAAAUCCCUCGGCUUAACCGAGGAACUGCCUGUCAAACUGCAUGGCUUGAGACCGGGAGAGGUGAGUGGAAUUCCCAGUGUAGCGGUGAAAUGCGUAGAUAUUGGGAGGAACACCAGUGGCGAAGGCGGCUCACUGGACCGGUACUGACGCUGAGGCGCGAAAGCGUGGGUAGCAAACAGG
rnacentral:rRNA from 1 species